rnacentral:miRNA from 1 species
CCCAGGAUCAGAGGAUGGACA